UACGAAGGGUGCAAGCGUUACUCGGAAUUACUGGGCGUAAAGCGUGCGUAGGUGGUUUGUUAAGUCUGUUGCGAAAGCCCCGGGCUCAACCUGGGAAUGGCAAUGGAUACUGGCAGGCUAGAGUGCGGUAGAGGGUAGUGGAAUUCCCGGUGUAGCGGUGAAAUGCGUAGAGAUCGGGAGGAACACCAGUGGCGAAGGCGGCUACCUGGACCAGCACUGACACUGAGGCACGAAAGCGUGGGGAGCAAACAGG
rnacentral:rRNA from 1 species